rnacentral:lncRNA from 1 species
AAAAUUAAAAAUGCAUCGAAAAAAAAAGUUAAUUUACAUCUGCUCAUUCUAAAAUUUAUAAAGUGUAACUUUCAUAAAGUUUUUAUAUAAAGUUUAACUUUCAAAUAUCUAAUCCCUCACACUUACACUCACCAAUUUCAUACAAGGAGCAUUUCGAAUUUGCAUUCAAAAAUAUAUAUUGUUAUAAAGUUUAACUUUAAUAUAUUAUUUUUAUAAAAAUUCUGAUAUUUUCAAAUAUAUUUCUGCUGUUAGAAUCCGUUAGAAAAAAAAUAAUUAAUCAUAAGUAAAAUACUUAACUCUACUUAGUUAAUUAGGUCGAUUGACUUUUUUACCCCUCUUUAAUUAAUAGUUAGAAUUUUUGGAGAGACAUAUUUGUGAUUGUAAAAAUAUCAUUUCACUUAUAAAAUAAAUACUGUUUUAGCGGUAACAAACUAGUGAGACAUAUUUAAAAAUAUUAGAACUUUACAGAGACAACGUAUGAAAGUUGAAUUUUAUAAGAAUAUAUUUACAAUUCACUAUACUUGCAGGAAUUUAUAUGAAAUUAAUUCUAUUUUUUAUAUAACAUGUGAGAACAAUUUAAUCAUUUCGUUUUUUUUUUUUAACUUCGUGACUCUACAGAAAUAGUUCUGAAAUAAUAAAAGUAUAAAAUAUAGAUUUUUUAAAAGAAAUGUAGGAGGAAAAAAUAAUAGUAAUAGUUGCGAGAAUUAUCUAUACUAUAUAUAAAAGCACGUAUAUUCAAAUUUGGGACUGUCGACAGACCCAUUUUUCGGCGGGAAAAUUAGCGCCCAUUUUUCUCUUUCCGUACAAAAAUUUUUUUAAAUAUAAGAAUAAAAAUAGAAACCCUAAUGCAUACGUAUGUUCUCUAUAACCGAUUACUUAUAUUUUUCUAUUUUAUUUUAAAAUAUCUUUUUUAGGUAUUAUCUAUUUAAUUUUAAAAGUAAGUUUUCUAUAACAGAUUACGGGUGUGAAAAUCCUAUAAAAGAUAUUUUUCAAUUUAUUUGUAAAAUAUCUUUUUUUAGAUAUUUUUGGUAUGAAAAUCCUAUAAAAGAUAACAGAUUUUAUUUUUUCUUUUUUAU